GGGAUGCCAAGCAUACAGUAAUACAGUACAGGAUUCGGCUAAAUAUUUAGGUUGCAAGUGAGAAAUAAAUAUAGACACAGAGAUACAAAUUAAUAAACUAACCUUUCGCUUGAAACAGUAUUUCUAUCUUUCAUUACGGAUAUUAUUAAAGAAUCUCGCCUGCCGACUGUUUUCUUGACCGUGUCAUGAUGAAAUUGUGAAAGUGAGUAAGGGAUGUUUUGGAACUUCGAUUAUCAAACAAAUUGAUUAUAAAAACCGC
rnacentral:lncRNA from 1 species